rnacentral:rRNA from 1 species
GACGAACGCUGGCGGCGCGCCUAACACAUGCAAGUCGAACGAGCAAAGAGGAGCUUGCUUCUCUGAGCGAGUGGCGAACGGGUGAGUAACGCGUGAGGAACCUGCCUCAAAGAGGGGGACAACAGUUGGAAACGACUGCUAAUAACCGCAUAAGCCCACCGGGUCGGCAUCGACCAGAGGGAAAGGAGUAAUCCGCUUUGAGAUGGCCUCGCGUCCGAUUAGCUAGUUGGUGAGGUAAUGGCCCACCAAGGCGACGAUCGGUAGCCGGACUGAGAGGUUGAACGGCCACAUUGGGACUGAGACACGGCCCAGACUCCUACGGGAGGCAGCAGUGGGGGAAUAAUUGCACAAAUGGGGGGAAACCCCGGUAGAUGCAGCGACGCCGCGUGGAGGAAGAAGGUCUUCGGAUUGUAAACUCCUGUUGUUGAGGAAGAUAAUGACGGUACUCAACAAGGAAGU